CCUUCUUCCUUCUCCCUAUUCUUCUUCCUCCUUCAUCUUCUUCCUACUUCUCCAUCUCCUUCUUCAUUGUUAUUAUUGAGUUUCAUACAAGUUCGAUUUUGAUUUUCAUUUGGUGUUUGUUGUUUCAGGUUUGGUGGUGUUCACUCACGCGAAAGGAGGAAGCUUCGUUGACGGUGCGGUUAUUUGAACAUAUGAUCUACGAAAUUAUGGCGGUGGAUAUGAUGUUUCCGGCGAUAGUCGGUUUGAUAGUGGUAUACUAUAGUAGCGGCAACACGUUUUUUGACGGCGGGUGUGGUGGUAGGAUUCAAAAUUAUUUUUGUGUGACUUUUUGGUCAGAUCUGUCAUGAGGUUUGAAGGCUUGCUUUCCCCCAGUUUGUGUCUGCAGCGCUGUUACCGGCAUGGAAAACAUUGCAAUUUUGCUGUGAGAAGUUAUACAUCUUAUAUCAGGUUGAGGUUCUGAGCUACAUCAAGAUACAGGUGGUCAAUAGUGGUUCAUUUUCUGAACGGGAUUGUUCUAAUGACGAAGAAAAAGAUUCUUGAGGUUGACGAGGUUAAGACUGGAUCGAGUUUUAUAGAGGAGUUUUGAAACUAACAAGAAAGGAUCUGUACGGAAACAUUAUUUUUAGCGGUGGAAUAACUAAGGAUUUUACUACUAGAAAUAAAGAAGAAUCAUGGCGUGAAUAUGAGGCUAAAAGGGCUACUCAACUUCAG